UGGGGAAUUUUGCACAAUGGAGGAAACUCUGAUGCAGCGACGCCGCGUGAGUGAUGAAGAUCUUCGGAUUGUAAAACUCUGUCCUUAGUGAAGAUAAUGACAGUAACUAAGAAGCAAGCCCUGGCUAAAUACGUGCCAGCAGCCGCGGUAAUACGUAUGGGGCAAGCGUUGUCCGGAAUUAUUGGGCGUAAAGGGUACGUAGGCGGUUUAAUAAGUCCUAAUUAAAAGGCUAUGGCUCAACCAUAGUAUGGUUAGGAAACUGUUGAACUUGAGUAGAUGAGGGGAAAGUGGAAUUCCAUGUGUAGCGGUGAAAUGCGUAGAUAUAUGGAGGAACACCAAUGGCGAAGGCAACUUUCUGAAAUCAAACUGACGCUGAGGUACGAAGGCGUGGGGAGCAAACAGG
rnacentral:rRNA from 1 species